CAGAGAGGCCGUUCCUGUAGAGAAGAGGCUGGGGCACCGCCCAGAAACAGGCCAAAACCAAGCUCCCCCACCGCAGGGCUGCUCCUAGGCUCCCCGCCCCGACCAGGCUGGGGUCUAGGCAUGCCUUCCCGGGAUGGCAGGAGACAGAAAAGUAGCAGGUAGAGGGGAGACCAAAGAAAAAGAGUGUCAACACAAGGCCCAGAGUGACUCACGGUGCCACGGGGAGGGCAGCUCCCACCUUCCCCUCGUAAGGCGUGGCUGAGCAGUUCACCGGCUCAGAACCCACUCUCCUGUCCAGCCAAACCUUCGAGGCUGAAUGGGAGUCCACAGUCAGCCUCCGAGGUGGCCCCUACUGGGGACACUCCCCCCAGGGUCCCCCCCACCACACCCCUGGCCAGGCUUUCAGACAAACAGGGCCCCGUGUGGGGUGUGCCUGGGGUGGAGCUGUGCCCGGCUGGACAAACAUUCCGGCCCCAGGCCUCCGGGUUCAAGUGGGCUCCGUGCCGUCUGCGCACCUGAGGCCGCAGCGUUCCGGCAGCGCCCCGCGCCCCGCCCUCAGAAAGAACACAGGCUUCGGUAGCAAGAAAGCUCUGGGUUCGCCUCCCGGCUCCAGCUGCUGAGUCUGGGGCCCAAAGUUCUUAAUUUCUGACUUAGUCUGUUUUCAUCUGCAAAAAGCAAAUAAACGGCCUCUGCCUAAGAUCAGAGGGAGGGUGAAACAAGGUGCCCGGUCGGGCUCUGCACAGGCCCCGGCGCUGGCGUGACACCAGGGGGUCGGGGAGGAGCCCCCAGAACGAGGGCCGAGCUGGGGCUGCAUCACUGAUGAGGCACCAAGACAACACACGUUCAGCCCGGCUCGGAGGCCAGCUCCGCCCUUGCUGCGAGACACCGAGACUUAAGGAAAACCCCGGAGGGAAGGUUCCGGAAGCCUGAGCACGCAGCCCAAGCGUUUCCUGCCCCAGCACCGCGGCAAAGAGGCCGCUCUGGUCCGAGGCAGCCCCUGGACCGGCCAGUUUCGUAACAGGGUGGAGGUGAAUGAAAUUUCCUGUUUAUAUGGAAAGUGCUCACACUUCUGAUGACAGCGACCUGGUGGCUGGCCAAGCUCACCCACAGGUCAUGAAGAAGGUCACACAUGCUCAGGCUUGAGCGAAGUCAUGGCAGGUGGAGGACGUACUGGCCCGUGACCGCAGCCACGGCCAGGCCCCCCCGGCCCCCCUCAUGCAGCCUGAGUGUCUCCACAGGCAUCAAGGGCUGCACCGACUCACCGCUGCGGCCCUGAGAGCAUCAACCAAGUCCACGCACUGGCCACUGUGGGCCUGGGCAGCUGACACAUCCAGGGACAAGAGACAAGUUCAGGGAGGAGCCCCCAUCCCUGGCACUGUCCCCGGCACUGCGCCUUCAGGCUUUGGGACAUCCUAGAGGCCAGCCUUGGCAGCAGGACCGGGCACCAGGGACCACCUAAGGCACAGCGUCUCCUCAGCAGAAGCAGGAAGGCACGUGCGUCUGGUGAGGAGAAAACCCCACCCUACCCACCGGGACAGCUGUGAGGACACUGACACCCACAGAGGACCCAGACACCCAGACACCACAGUCAGAGCAGGUGAGCCAGACGGAGAGGGCUGGCCCUGCAGUGAGGAAAAGCCAGUGCUGAUAAGAGACAGGCUCUGGCUCAGACAGUUCUGGGACCUCGAAGACCUUAUGAAAUAAGCCCUCACAGAGAUGGCUCCGCUGGUAUGAGGGGCCUAGAGCCAGACGCAGUGACACAAAGUCGAAGGGCGGGGGCAGGGCCUGGGGGGAGGGGGAGCUGUUUAAUGGAGACAGAGUUUCUGUCUGGGAAGAGGAAAAAGUUCUGGAGGGGAUGGUGGUGACGUCUGCACAGUGAGAAUGUCCUUAACGCCCCUGAACCAUGCGCUUAGAAUGGUACAAAUUGCAAGUUCCCCUGUAGCGCAGCGGGUUAAGGAUCCGGUGCUGCCACGACUAUGGCAGGUUCGAUUCCUGGCCCAGGAACGUCCACAUGCUGCAAGCGCAGCCAAAAAAAUAAAGAAAAAAAAAAAGGGAAUGGUACAUCUCACGCAUAUUUUGCCACAUACCCGGCCCCGGGGGGCGGUGGGAAGAAGAGUGGCUCUGGGCAAGUCAGUGGAGUGAUGGAUGAUCAGCAAGAAAGCACAGGAGGCCCGAGCUUGCCCGCCACCUUGGCUCUGAGCCCCCGAGCCUCCUGCAGGCCCCCUCCUGCUCCGCGGGUCCUGCCCUCCUCACCCAGUCCGCCUCCUGCCCAGAGGCCCGCUUCCCACCCUCUGGCACCGCGGCCACGAGGGAGCAGUCGUGACGCCCAGCACCCUCCGCACACAGGUAGUUCCAGCAGUUGGGGGAAAAGCUGCUUCACACAUUCCAGAAGUUUCUAGAACAUGAACAAUAGAGGGUUUGUCUCCAAUCAACUUUUGUUUCCUGCCAUUCAAGCUGCGUGGGCCUUGGCGUUUCUUGCCACAGCUCUCACCACACACGCCUCUAACCCGAGCUGGGGCCGGGAGGACGGGGUGCAGGGGAAGAGGAGAGACUCAAGACUCAGGACCGACACCGGGAGGACGCCUGAGCGUCCUCGCGCCGAGCUCCUCAAGGGAGGGGCUCCUCCAGCAGCUCAGGGGUCGGGGCGCAAGGGGCCUCCCGCGCCUAGGGGAGCAAUAAACUUCGUGCGCUCCGCCAAUGUCAAGAGCAGCUUUAUUCAAAACUGCCCCAAACCAGGAUCGCGGAAGCCCUUCAACAGGUGAAUGGGUGACAAGCUACAGCGCAUCCCAGGAUAGGACAGAACCCCCACAAACGGGAAUGAGCUGCGGACUCUCACGGGGAGCCUCAAAAAUCAAUGCCCCAUGAAAGACCGACUCAAAAGGCUUCACACUGCGGGAUCCCACGUGGGACACUCGGCAGGAGGCGCAACUGUGGGGGCAGAGAGGAGUGGGUGCCUGGGACCAGGAGGGACUACGAAGGGGUACGGGGAACUUUCUGGGGUGACGGCAAGACUACCUUGGUGGUGGUGGUGGUGGUUGCCCAGCUGCUUCAGGGAGGAUCUUCCCAUGGAGAACGCAGACCCAGCAAAUCUAGCAGAGGCCGGGCCGGGGAGGGGCGGACGCCCUCCGGAGAAUCAGGCCCUCCUGGGAAUCCUGAACCUCCUACUCACUCAGCAGCCAGCGCUGCAACCCCCGCAGCCUCUGUUUCUUCACCGGCAGUGUGAGAAGGGCAGCAUUCUCCCGGGAGGGAGAGUAGUGCCUGGCACACGGCGGGCACGUCGCACAUGUUUGCAAUUAUUUAUUCACAGGAUUUGUAUUUCGGGCUCGAGAAGCUCAGAUUCGGAUGGGUGUGUAGGCAACGGCCGUGUCUAACGCGUGAAGAAUGCCCCGUACCCCAAAUAUAAACUGAGCAGUUGCAGGCAUGCGGGCCAGCUGCCGCCCAGCCAGGCUCGCAGCCUCGGAACAGGUGCGGUGCCAGCAUGGGCUGGUCCUGCCCCCCUCGGGAGGGGGCACAGCAGCGCUCUGACUGACGCAGGUUUGGAGCAGAAGAAGGCUUUGAGGAGGGGGGCGGUCCCCAGAGGAGGUGCUGCCGGCUGAAGGGAAGCCCCUGCUGAGUCAGCGCCUCCCCCUCCUCCAGCCUCCUGGGGAUGUUACUCAGAAAGAGGUCUUCCUCCUCCGAGUCUGGGAAUCCCUGGGUUUUUCGGUGUCUGUAUUUUUAUUCAGCUGAUGUUUGUUGAACACCUAACUGGGCAGCAGACUAGGGG